GACGAACGCUGGCGGCGUGCUUAACACAUGCAAGUCGAACGAGAAUCUGUGGAAAGAGGAUUCGUCCAAUUGAAGCAGAGGACAGUGGCGGACGGGUGAGUAACGCGUGAGGAACCUGCCUUUCAGAGGGGGACAACAGUUGGAAACGACUGCUAAUACCGCAUAAAGUGUUUUGGGGGCAUCCCCGGAACACCAAAGAUUUAUUGCUGAAAGAUGGCCUCGCGUCUGAUUAGAUAGUUGGUGGGGUAACGGCCUACCAAAAGUCGACGAUCAGUAGCCGGACUGAGAGGUUGAACGGCCACAUUGGGACUGAGAUACGGCCCAGACUCCUACGGGAGGCAGCAGUCGGGAAUAUUGCGCAAUGGAGGAAACUCUGACGCAGUGACGCCGCGUAUAGGAAGAAGGUUUUCGGAUUGUAAACUAUUGUCGUUAGGGAAGAUACAAGACAGUACCUAAGGAGGAAGCUCCGGCUAACUACGUG
rnacentral:rRNA from 1 species